rnacentral:rRNA from 1 species
CUUAGCUAGCCGCCCCCUCUAAAAACAACAAAUCCCUAUUAAUACCCCCUAAGACACUCAAACGUUAACUAAACAAACCAUUUUUCCUCCCAAGUAUGGGCGACAGAAAAGGAAACACCGCGCUAUAGAGAAAGUACCGCAAGGGAACGCUGAAAGAGAAAUGAAAUAACCCAGUAAAGCUUAAAAAAGCAGAGAUUAAAACUCGUACCUUUUGCAUCAUGAUUUAGCUAGAAAAUCUCAAGCAAAGAGCACUUUAGUUUGACCCCCCGAAACUAGGUGAGCUACUCCAAGACAGCCUAAACAGUAGGGCAAACCCGUCUCUGUGGCAAAAGAGUGGGAAGAGCUUUGAGUAGAGGUGACAGACCUACCGAACCUAGUUAUAGCUGGUUGCCUGAGAAAUGAAUAGAAGUUCAGCCUCUCGAAUUCUUCCCUUACCCCACCUUCCUCCCCAUGACAACCAAAAGAAGCCGAGAGAGUUAGUCAAAGGGGGUACAGCCCCUUUGACACAAGAUACAACUUUUCCAGCAGGGUAAAGAUCAUAUUUAAACACCAAGGUAAAAUGUUUUGGUGGGCCUAAAAGCAGCCACCCCUAUAGAAUGCGUUAAAGCUCAAACAUACUUACCACCCACUAAUCCUGACAAUUUCAUCUUAACCCCCUAACCCUACCAGGCCGUCCCAUGCAAACAUGGGAGUGACCAUGCUAAUAUGAGUAAUAAGAGAGCAUAAGCCUCUCUCCUUGCACAAGUGUAACUCGGAACGGACCCCCCACCGACCCUUAACGACCCCAAACAAAGAGGGCCCUGAGCAACAAACCCGCCAACUAGAAAAACACUCAACUAACUAAUCGUUAAACCUACACUGGUGUGCCUUCAAGGAAAGACUAAAAGAAAAAGAAGGAACUCGGCAAACAUAUAAAGCCUCGCCUGUUUACCAAAAACAUCGCCUCUUGCAAAAUUAAUGAAUAAGAGGUCCUGCCUGCCCUGUGACCAUGAGUUCAACGGCCGCGGUAUUUUGACCGUGCAAAGGUAGCGCAAUCACUUGUCUUUUAAAUGAAGACCCGUAUGAAUGGCAAGACGAGGGCUUAACUGUCUCCUUUUUCAAGUCAAUGAAAUUGAUCUUCCCGUGCAGAAGCGGGAAUUACCCCAUAAGACGAGAAGACCCUAUGGAGCUUCAGACACUAAGACAGGCCACGUUAAAACCCCCUAGUAAAGGUAUAAACUAAAUGAACUCUGUCCUAAUGUCUUUGGUUGGGGCGACCACGGGGAAACACAAAACCCCCGCGUGGAAUGGGAGCACUCCUUGCUCCUACAACUAAGAGCUUCAGCUCUAAUAAACAGAAUUUCUGACCAACAAGAUCCGGCAAUGCCGAUCAACGAACCGAGUUACCCUAGGGAUAACAGCGCAAUCCUCUUUUAGAGCCCAUAUCGACAAGAGGGUUUACGACCUCGAUGUUGGAUCAGGACAUCCUAAUGGUGCAGCCGCUAUUAAGGGUUCGUUUGUUCAACGAUUAAAGUCCUACGUGAUCUGAGUUCAGACCGGAGCAAUCCAGGUCAGUUUCUAUCUAUGCCAUGAUCUUUUCUAGUACGAAAGGACCGAAAAGAAGGGCCCAUACUUAAAGCACGCCCCAUCCUCAUCUAAUGAAAUCAACUAAAAUAGACCAGAGGACAUACCCCAAUGCCCAAGAAAAUGGCA